rnacentral:rRNA from 1 species
AUGUUUGAUCUUUAUGAAAAUUCUUACACUAUGGACUUAGAGGAUUUUACCACUGCUUGCAAACUUCCACAAUGGGGUAGUAUCAGGGAUCCUCGCAAAUCUGAAUUUAGAGAUUUUCUUGCUAGUAUAACUGUGGGAGAAUCUAGAGAUAUAACACAAUCUACCAUAGGGAGCAUUCACUUUCCUCCUAUACAUUAUUUUUCUCUCUUCAUAGGUAGAUGCAUUAAUGGUAAAGAUGAGGCAUGUCACAUGUGUGUCCCUGACCUCAGUAUUCUUAGGAGUGCUGUGUUAGGAGAUAAAUCUUAUAAUUUGGGAGCCAUUGUUGCACGUAGGUUGCAUCUUAAUAGAUUUAAUGGAGAUUUCUUAGGUGGAAUUUAUGCAACCCGCAUAGCUAAUUUUCUUGGUGUAGCCAUACGCGAAGAUGAUAUUGAAUUACCCCCUGUUUACGUAGACUUUAAUUCUAUCGUUCACCACCAGUUUGUUGAGAGGAAUGAAUCACCUCUCUAG